UCAAACUUGGUCAUUUAGAGGAAGUAAAAGUCGUAACAAGGUCUCCGUAGGUGAACCUGCGGAGGGAUCAUUACCGAGUUCGUGCCCGCGAGGGCAGACCUCUCACCCAUUGUUAUCACUACUAGCGUUGCUUUGGCGGGCCGCCGGGGUUCCCGGCCGCCGGCUCCGGCCGGCGCGCGCCCGCCAGAGGCCCCUUAGACUCUGGAUAUUGGUGUCGUCCGAGUACUAUUCAAUAGUUAAAAACUUUCAACAACGGAUCUCUUGGUUCUGGCAUCGAUGAAGAACGCAGC
rnacentral:misc_RNA from 1 species